AUUGAACGCUGGCGGCAGGCCUAACACAUGCAAGUCGAACGAGUGGCGGACGGGUGAGUAAUGUCUGGGAAACUGCCUGAUGGAGGGGGAUAACUAUUGGAAAAGGUAGCUAAUACCGCAUACCAUCGGAUGUGCCCAGAUGGGAUUAGCGAGUGGGUGGGGUAACGGCUCACCUAGGCGACGAUCCCUCGCUGGUCGGAGGGGGUGACCGGCCACCCUGGAACUGAGGCACGGUCCAGACUCCUACGGGAGGCAGCAGUGGGGAAUAUUGCACAAUGGGCGCAAGCCUGAUGCAGCCAUGCCGCGUGGAUGAAGAAGGCCUUCGGGUUGUAAAGUACUUUCAUCGGGGAGGCGUUACCCGCAGAAGAAGCCCCGGCUAACUCCGUGCCAGCAGCCGCGGUAAUUC
rnacentral:rRNA from 1 species